ACUCUUGGUACGUCUUGAAACAACUCUUAUGGACCUUCUCUGGCCUUUUCCUACUGAGAAACAAAAGGGUAUAAAACGAUCGAAAAGCAAGAGAGAUGUGAGAGCUCAACUUUUUCACCCGUGACAAAUAUACUUGGGCAAAGUGAAGCUCUCUAAUGCGAGGCUGAACCAUUUGACUUUUUCUCCGCUGCAGCAUCCCAUGUUUCUUCAGGACUCCCUCCUCCUCCAUAUGGAGCAGAAGCAGCUGCUCCAACAUUGAAACUGCCACCGUAGGAAUUUAGAAAAGCAGAGCCAGCACCUAUGCCCAGCCCAAGAAGAUCAAGCGUGGUGGGCUUGUUCCCAAACAAUGGAGAUGCACCCAUCAUAACAUCCCCGGAGGGAAGUCCGAGGCCGAGCCCAGAUGCCACAAUAUUUGUAUCUGGCUUCACAUCCCGUUGAUUGCCGUUGAUAUCUUGACCUGAAGAAGAAGAUACUGGCAGUCCCAAGCCAUGGAGAAAUGAUGAGUUCGACGAUGUUGCACCCAUUUGUGCUGCUUUUUG
rnacentral:misc_RNA from 1 species